AUGAACGCUGGCGGCGUGCCUAAUACAAGCAAGUCGAGCGAACAGACGAGGAGCUUGCUCCUCUGACGUUAGCGGCGGACGGGUGAGUAACACGUGGAUAACCUACCUAUAAGACUGGGAUAACUUCGGGAAACCGGAGCUAAUACCGGAUAAUAUAUUGAACCGCAUGGUUCAAUAGUGAAAGACGGUUUUGCUGUCACUUAUAGAUGGAUCCGCGCCGCAUUAGCUAGUUGGUAAGGUAACGGCUUACCAAGGCGACGAUGCGUAGCCGACCUGAGAGGGUGAUCCGCCACACUGGAACUGAGACACGGUCCAGACUCCUACGGGAGGCAGCAGUAGGGAAUCUUCCGCAAUGGGCGAAAGCCUGACGGAGCAAAGCCGCGUGAGUGAUGAAGGUCUUCGGAUCGUAAAACUCUGUUAUUAGGGAAGAACAAAUGUGUAAGUAACUAUGCACGUCUUGACGGUACCUAAUCAGAAAGCCACGGCUAACUACGUG
rnacentral:rRNA from 1 species